rnacentral:rRNA from 1 species
UACGUAGGGGGCAAGCGUUGUCCGGAAUUAUUGGGCGUAAAGAGCGCGUAGGCGGUCCGGUAAGUCGGCUGUGAAAGUCAAGGGCUCAACCCUUGAAAGCCGGCCGAUACUGUCGGACUAGAGUCCGGAAGAGGCGAGUGGAAUUCCCGGUGUAGCGGUGAAAUGCGCAGAUAUCGGGAGGAACACCAAUGGCGAAGGCGGCUUCCUGGCCUGUUCUUGACGCUGAGGCGCGAAAGCUAGGGGAGCAAACGGG